rnacentral:rRNA from 1 species
UACAGAGGUGGCAAGCGUUGUUCGGAAUUACUGGGCGUAAAGGGCGCGUAGGCGGCCUUCUCAGUCGGACGUGAAAUCCCCGGGCUUAACUCGGGAACUGCGUCCGAUACUGGAAGGCUAGAGUUCGGGAGAGGGAUGUGGAAUUCCAGGUGUAGCGGUGAAAUGCGUAGAUAUCUGGAGGAACACCGGUGGCGAAGGCGGCAUCCUGGACCGAAACUGACGCUGAGGCGCGAAAGCCAGGGGAGCAAAGCGGG